rnacentral:lncRNA from 1 species
UGAGUGUUUGCGGAAAAGUUAUGGGGAAGGACUAAGAAAUGUGAAAGUUGUGGAGGUUGUGGAGAAAGGCUUACGACCUAUGGUGGUUGUGUGGUGGUGGUGUGGUCUUUGAAGGCUUAAAGAGAGGUUAGGCCAACUCUAAGAGGAAGGUUAUUAGAGGGACCUCAUGAGUUGCUCUAGUCUUCAUCUUAAGAAGAGUAGUAUGGCAGCAUAACAUUACUCAACAUCAAAGAUGAAUACAAGGGAGGAGACACAUCUAUUUAUAGACUAAGGGUGUCUCCCAAAAAUUUUAAAAGUAUAAAUUUUUCAUGCCUACCCUUCCUUGAUAUACUUGGUAAAAAAAUGAGGCCCUCUAAGGAGUGGACAAGUGUCUACAAAUCCUCUUUAAUGAGGAUAGGACAUGUAGUCACUCAUAAAAUAAAAUUAUCCCAUUCCUAGAGUGUCAUGUGCCCACUACUAAAGUAAAAUCCUCUCCAAUUGAAGCAUGACACAUGACACAUACUUUUCACAUGGUUUGGAUGUCCAACUAAGGACAAAUCCUACACUAAUUAAGCCUUAAUACAUGCCUUAAACAAACCUACCCACUUGGCUUAAAUAAAUGGCCUAAAGAAACUUACACUGCUUGGUGGAAAUAUUUGGCCUAAAGAAACCAACACUACUCUUCAACCUCCAUGAUGGCCUAUGAGAAAAAGUUUUGCUUCACCUUGCAUAGAUGAAUUUAGCUUCUUCUUCAAAGUUCUUGGUCAUAGCUAGGGGUAUGCCAACAUUCCCUCCCUCUUCAAAAGGAUUUGUCCUUAAAUCUUAAAAUUGUUAUGAGAAUAUCCUUUUGGGAGAUAAUUGGAUUUCUCCC